UACAGGGGGUGCAAACGUUGCUCGGAAUUAUUGGGCGUAAAGCGCACGUAGGCGGAUAUUUAAGUCAGGGGUGAAAUCCCAGAGCUCAACUCUGGAACUGCCUUUGAUACUGGGUAUCUCGAGUAUGGAAGAGGUGAGUGGAAUUCCGAGUGUAGAGGUGAAAUUCGUAGAUAUUCGGAGGAACACCAGUGGCGAAGGCGGCUCACUGGUCCAUUACUGACGCUGAGGUGCGAAAGCGUGGGGAGCAAACAGG
rnacentral:rRNA from 1 species